UUUUUUUUUUCUUUUUCAGAUUCUUGUCCAUUAUGGUUUAUUACAGGAUACUGAAUGUAGCUCCCUAUGGAACAUUUUUAUCAUGUUCUUUUUCUCUGUGAAGCACAUCUCCAUUUAAAAAGAAACAAAACCAGAAAUCAUCAGGAGUUCCUGUUGUGGCUCAGCAGGUUACGAACCUGACUCGUAUCCAUUAAGAUGUGGGUUUGAUCCCUGGCCCCGCUCAGUGGGUUAGGGAUCCGGCGUUGCCGGGAGCUGUGGUGUAGGUCGCAGAUGUGGCUCAGAUCUGGCGUUGCUGUGGCUGGGGCGUAGGCCGGCAGCUGCAGCCCUGAUUUGACCCCUACCUGGGAACCUCCAUAUGCUGCAGGUGCGGCCCUGAAAAGAUAAAAAGCCAAAAAACAAUAAAGAAAACGAGUUCAAGUAUCAUUGCUUUCCCUUCUCCAUUCCUGGAGCUCCGCUGAGUCACCCAUCACAUUUUUCCUGCCAAUGUUAACCCCUCUUACAGUCCAAUAAUAUUUGGCCACAAACGCUACUCUUAUCUUCUGUACAUCGCCGACUAAACCUCUGACAUCCACCAGGAAACCUUUAACGUAUCUUAGAUCUGAUUCACAUUCCUUGUUACUAGGAGUUAAAGAUUUGGGGUUUCUAUCCAUCCACCCAUCCAUGCGACAGUGAUUGUGACAAUAGGUUCGGUGUUAUGCACGCAAGGCACGUGAUCUGGUGCCGCCCUCAAGCAGCUCACAGAAUUCUGAGGAGCAGGUGUGCAAACAUCUAAAGGCCAGUGUCAAUGCAGCGGCGGCGGCAGCGAGGGUAAGGACCAGUGUUAUCGGAAAUACACGGGAAGGACAUGGAACCCAGAGAAGGGGCCGAAGACAGGGGUUGGUAAAGGUGACACAGACGGAGUCUUCGGGGGUGUUAGGGGAGGAGGGGCCCCGGGAGGAAAGGAGAGGCAGAGGGGGAGGGCGGAACGCACAAAGGCACGGAGGCAUGAAGACUUAUAAAGGUUCCGGGGCGGGCAAGAGGCCUUGCGGGAGAAGAAAAUCUUGGUGUGCCAGCCAAAUGGCACAGGCUGAAGCCCGGGCUAGGAAGAGCCUUUGUGCUCAUCCGGCAGAGAUAAACUGCCCGGAUCUGCUUGCUCUCCAGCGUGGCUGAGGUGGCCCGCAGUGCCAGGAGGCGACGUCACAGACUGGACCCCACUGGGCUUCUCCUUAUGGCACCAAGGCAAGUCUCCACACAGGCAGCGGAGGCCUCAAAUUAUUUGGAACAUUGGUUUAUUCAACAAAUAUUGAUAGAGUGGGAUGAGAUGGGCUCAACCCCGCCCUGCACCACGUCUUGAACUGACCCCUGAAUGAAAGGGGUCAAUCCUGCCUUUUAACCUUUAGGGUGCAAAAAGCACAAUCCAAGGGCCACGUGAUGACCAACCGUUCAAAAGGGGGCUGUUGGAUUCCCCGAGGAGGCAAUGCUCGAGCUUUUUUUUUUUUUUAAUUUAUUGAAAAAUUAUUUCCAACUUACAGAAAAGUUGCAAAAAUAAGACUAGUACAAAUAAAAAAUGGUUUCUGAAUCAUUUGAGAGUAAGUCGUGUAGACCACGGCCUCCACCCCGAAAUACUUGAGUGUGUACUUCCUACGAAGAAAGAUAUUCUUGUUUAGAACCACCGGCCAGUUAUCAACUUCAGUAAACUGCACACUGAUAAUGAUCUUGCAUUUGGAUUCCAACCCCCUUUACAGCAGUGUCCCCGCCAGCACAGGAUGCAGAGUCCAGGGUUGGUAUUGCAUUUAGUUGUCACAUCUCUGUACCCGCCUUUAAUCUGGAACAUUUCCACACCCUUUCUUUGUCUUUAAUGAUGUUGACCUUUUAGACUAACAUAGGAACCAUCUUUCCCCAUAAAAAAAAAAAGUGUUCCUUCUUUUGAUGUUUCCUCAUGGUUAAACUCAGAUUAUGCCUUCCUAGAUGGAAAAUUACUUAAAGAGUGUCCUUCUCAGGGUGUCAUAUCUAGAGGCACAGGAUGGCCACGGGCCUCUCGUGGUUGAUGUGAAUUUUGAUCACCCAGUUCAAGUGCUGUCCGGUCUCUAUAGCUACUGUUUUCCACCUGGCAACUAGUAAGCCCUCUUUGAGGAAACACUUUUAAGACUAUGCAAGUAGCUUGCUGAUCAUCAGAGUUUCCCCUUACCUUGAGCAUCCAAUGAUAAUUUCUGCCUGAAUCAGUCUUUACUAUGAUGGCUGCAAAAUGGUGAUUUUCCAACUCCAGAGUUCUCUCCACGUUGACCAGUCAACACUCAGCAUGGUACUGUCAACAAGAGCCUGCCUUUUCUCCCCACUUACUGAUAAUAUGUAUCAGUAUGGACGCAUCGAUGUCUACUUUUUCCAAUGUUUUCUAAUCCAUUACAGUCUUUCUUUUGGUGCUCAGAUGUUCCCUUAUUUGGCCGGUCAGAACCUCUUCACAUUGGCACCUGUGUCUUUGUAACAUGCCCCUAUCGUAUUUCCGAGCAUUACUUUCUGGCAGAACAAGAUGUUCUGGCUUCACCCUGUACUUUUCCUGCCUCGGCCACAGAGGCAACCCUUUCUCCAAGGAGCCCUGGUUCCUUUCAGUGCAGAGUAUAGUGUUUAGAAGCCAAGUUCUGGGCACUAGCUGUGUUCAUGGCUAUUAGAUGUACAAGCACAGACAUACUAAAGCUGUCAGUGUUAGCAAAUAAAAAUGCAGGAUACCCCGUUACACUUGGAUUUCAGUUAAACACUGAAAAACUUAGUAUAAAUAUAUCCCAUGCAGUAUUUGGGGCAUGACCCAGACCCAAAACAUUUGACUGUAGAGCUGAAAUUCCUAUCUAACUGGGCAUCUUGGGUUUUAUCUGGCUAUCCUAAUACAUGCAAACAUACAUAUUACAUCCAUAUAAUAUACACAUACACAUGCAUGGACCCACAUGUAUAGACGCGUGAGAAAUCCUGAGUCCACAUAGAUAUUUGAGCUGACUAAAUGCAAAGGCAAGAAUGCGCUUGGUGGAUGGGGAUGAGAAAGGGACACUAAGCAGGACAAAUGGCAUAUUAUGGGACUGAAGAGAAAUUCAAGGAGCUCAAACUUUACCCAGUGUGGUAGGGAGUAGCAAGAGGUUAACUUUUGAAACCGGUGCAUGGCAUAGUCAGAUCUUUUAGAUAAUUAUUCUACCAGCCCCAAAGAGGCCAGACUCCAAAAGGCAAAGACAAGAAUUAGUUUGAGGGAGCAACGACAAGAGCCGAAAAUAGGCCAUGGAGGAUGGAGAGGAAUUUGGGGCUACAACAGAGAUAAAAAUGGUAAGACUCGAUGACUGGGUGUAUAAAGGGCGAAGGGAUACAUUUAUACAGGGUUGAAGGAGAGGAGCAAAUGCAAGAUAAUGCCUGUUUUUCUGGCUGGGCUGCUGUGUGCUGGGCUAGGCCACAUGGGGAGAGCAGAUCUGGCAGGAGGAAUGAGGAGACCAGCUCUGGACAUGCUGAGUUUGAGGGGCAGUAGGACAUCCAAGCUGAGAUGACCAGAAGGUAGCUGCGCCCAUGGGUCUGGGGCUCAAGAGAAAGGUCAGGAUGGGAAAACACGGACAAGGGCGUCAUCAGCACUUUGAUGAAUGAUGUUACAGGCGCAGGCAAGGUUGUCCAGGAAGGGGCUAUAGCGAAGAAGAGGAGAGGAGUGCAAGGACCAGCAAAAUUCAGGGGGCAGGCAGGAGGCAGAUCCAGCAAAGGAGACUGUGGGAUGGUCAGAAAGGUUGAAUGAAGGCCAGGGAAGUUGGGAUCAUGAAAGCCAAGGAAGAGAUUUAUCAAGGGUCAGAUACUGCAGAGAGGUCACCAUAGUAUAGGAAAGUGCUCCCUGGCUUUGGCGAUAAGAGCUCAUCAGUGACCUCAAGAGAGUAGAUGGCCGAGGUAGGAGCCGACGUACCAAGUGCCAAGUCCGGGGGAGGAGAUGCGGUAGAAAGAGCACAGAUCCGACAGGCAGACACGUCGGGGUUUCAAAUCCCCGCUCCACACCCAUUAGCAUAUUAUUCAACCACUAUACCUCUGUCCACUGCAAGACGGGGAUAACAAUAGUGAAUACCCCAAAGGGUUUCUGCAAGGGUGACAGGAGCUUAACCAUGUAAAACAGUACAGAGCCUAGCGCAUGGGAGGUGCCAUGUUACCGCUAUUGCUUCAGCGUGGGAAAUAUAAACCACUUAAGCCAUCUCAAGCAGAAAGGUAAUAGUAGGUGCCUACGAAAUUGCUGGCUACAGAAGCAGAAGUCAGGGGCCCUCGGUUAGGCGAAUGGUUUCAAGGUCAUAGCACAGUAGCUGUGAUCCAAAUCUAGUUUCAGAAGAUGCUGCUGCCACUAGAGUCCCUCACCCACCAAGCCGUGAGUAAAUCCACUGGAAUGCAGGGUACAGAAGCCACAGACAUAUCCUUGGAACUCCCUGCCAGCCACCAAGCCCCGGGAAGUUAGCCUCUGCCUAACUGAAGCCUUUCAAACAUUGUGCAAAGGCAUUGCAUGCACAGAACUGAAAAUGUAUCCGAACCUACAUUGUAUCCAGAAUCCCAGCAGCAAGAGAGUCUGGGACAGGUUAUUAUUAUUAUUUUAGCCUUUGAAGGGAUGGAGGGCAGAGGUAGAUGCUGAGUAACAACAGAUACUAUCCAGUGCAUCUACCUUGAGGGGAGCAAAUAUUUUCAUCCUGACCACUGACCCCAGCAUUCUAACUGCAGUCCAAAUACAGCACAUCACCGAGUGACAAAAUCCUCCAAAAUGUAAAGAGAGAUGGGAACAAGACCAAAGAUCAAGGGCAAAGCUUGAACGGGGAAGUGAAUCUCUCUCUCUCUAAUAUUGGAAGGAAAAUGGUGAGAAGAGGUACAGACAGUGGGGGCGGGGGGAGAGAGAUGGAGGAGUUGGCGGUCUGUCUCGUGGCAUCUAUUAGCUCUGUCAAGUGAGCGACAAAUAUCAUCUGCUCUGAGUCAAAAUAGGGAGAAGCUGGCUCAGGGGCCUGAUGAGAGUGGAUACUUGAGCAACAGGAGAGGCAGCAGACACAGCAUGACGAAUCUUUCUGCAUAUCAGCUAGCCAAAAAAAAAAAAAA
rnacentral:lncRNA from 1 species